rnacentral:rRNA from 1 species
GACGAACGCUGGCGGCGUGCCUAAUACAUGCAAGUCGAGCGCAGGAAACUGACGGAACUCUUCGGAGGGAAGGCAGUGGAAUGAGCGGCGGACGGGUGAGUAACACGUAAGGAACCUGCCUCAAGGAUUGGGAUAACUCCGAGAAAUCGGAGCUAAUACCGGAUAGUUCAUCGGACCGCAUGGUCCGCUGAUGAAAGGCGCUUCGGCGUCACCUUGAGAUGGCCUUGCGGUGCAUUAGCUAGUUGGUGGGGUAACGGCCCACCAAGGCGACGAUGCAUAGCCGACCUGAGAGGGUGAUCGGCCACACUGGGACUGAGACACGGCCCAGACUCCUACGGGAGGCAGCAGUAGGGAAUCUUCCACAAUGGACGAAAGUCUGAUGGAGCAACGCCGCGUGAGUGAUGAAGGUUUUCGGAUCGUAAAACUCUGUUGUAAGGGAAGAACACGUACGAGAGGUAAUGCUCGUACCUUGACGGUACCUUACGAGAAAGCCACGGCUAACUACGUGCCAGCAGCCGCCGUAA